rnacentral:rRNA from 1 species
AGGGGGUAGGAUUUGUGGUCGCAAUAGACAUAGCAAUGUCUGACCCAGCCAUGCCGCGUGCCGGAUGAAGGCCUCAGGUUUGUAAACGGCUUUUAUUCGGGAAGAAGAGCAGGGAUGCGGCCUUGUGUGACGGUACCGAAUGAAUAAGCACCGGCUAACUCCGUGCCAGCAGCCGCGGUAAUACGGAGGCUGCGAGCGUUGUCCGGAUUUAUUGGGUUUAAAGGGUGCGUAGGUGGCUGUUUAAGUCAGUGGUGAAAUACGGUUGCUCAACAAUCGAGGUGCCAUUGAUACUGAAUAGCUUGAAAUAAUUGGAGGCUGCCGGAAUGGAUGGUGUAGCGGUGAAAUGCAUAGAUAUCAUCCAGAACACCGAUUGCGAAGGUGGGUGGCUACGAUUUGUUUGACACUGAGGCACGAAAGCAUGGGGAGCAAACAGGAUUAGAUCCCCUGGGUAGA